rnacentral:tRNA from 1 species
GCCUUCGUCGUGUAAUGGUCAGCACACUUGGUGUUGACCGAGAGGUCCGAGGUUCGAGUCCCGGCGAGGGCA